rnacentral:tRNA from 1 species
GCUAGAUAGCUCAGUUGGUUAGGGCGUGGUGUUGAUAAUACCAAGGUCGCAGGUUCAGUUCCCUUAUGGGACAGCUGCA